rnacentral:rRNA from 1 species
GCGUAAUAGCUCACUGAUCGAGUCGUCCUGCGCGGAAGAUGUAACGGGGCUAAGCUAUAUACCGAAGCUGCGGACGCGUGCGCUCCUUUAAGUGCACCAAGCUUGUCGAUGCGCAGCAUCGACAAAGCCACCAACCAUGAUCGAUGGUGGUAAAUGCUAGUGGAUUUAAAGGAGCGUACGCGUGGUAGGAGAGCGUUCUGUAAGCCUGUGAAGGUGUCUUGUAAAGGAUGCUGGAGGUAUCAGAAGUGCGAAUGCU